GACGAACGCUGGCGGCGUGCUUAACACAUGCAAGUCGAACGCUGAAGCUCAGCUUUUGUUGGGUGGAUGAGUGGCGAACGGGUGAGUAACACGUGAGUAACCUGCCUCCUUCUUUGGGAUAACGCCCGGAAACGGUUUCUAAUACUGGAUAUUCUCUGGUCUUCGCCUGGGGGUUGGUGUAAAGGGUUUUUCUGGUGUGGGAUGGGUUCGCGGCCUAUCAGCUUGUUGGUGGGCUGAUGGCCUACCAAGGCUUUGACGGGUAGCCGGCAUGAGAGGGUGAACGGUCACAUUGGGACUGAGAUACGGCCCAGACUAGUACGGGAGGCAGAAGUGGGGAAUAUUGAAGAAUGGGCGCAAGCGCGAUGCAGCGACGCAGCAGAAGGGAUGGAGGCGUUUGGAUUGUGAACCUCUUUAGAUAAUGGUCAAGCAGCAACAAUGGUUGUAGUGAGGGUAGUGGGUAAAGAAGCGCCGGCUAACUACGUG
rnacentral:rRNA from 1 species